GUGAAUCUUCAAAAGUCGGCCCGUCGGAUUGUGCUGGUGGAGACACAUGUGCACAUCUGGUGAGUCGCAAACCCACACACCUGUGCAUCUAUGACUCUGAGUGCCGCUUUGCAUGGCCUUGACCGGCCUGGCGCUCGAGUACUUUUUCAUACACUUUGUUUAUUGGAAUGAUUGAAUAAAAAAUUAAAUUGCGAAAA
rnacentral:misc_RNA from 1 species